rnacentral:rRNA from 1 species
GGGUUGUGAGGUUAAGCGACUAAGCGUACACGGUGGAUGCCUAGGCAAUCAGAGGCGAUGAAGGACGUGCUAAUCUGCGAUAAGCGUCGGUAAGGUGAUAUGAACCGUUACAACCGACGAUUUCCGAAUGGGGAAACCCAGUGCAAUUCGUUGCACUAUCGUUUGAUGAAUACAUAGUCAAACGAAGCGAACCGGGGGAACUGAAACAUCUCAGUACCCCGAGGAAAAGAAAUCAACCGAGAUUCCCCUAGUAGCGGCGAGCGAACGGGGAGCAGCCCAGAGUCUUAAUCAGCAUUAGCAUCAGGAGAACGGUCUGGAAAGUCCGGCAGUAAAGGGUGAUAGCCCCGUAUCCGAAGGUGUUAGUGUUGUGAACUCGACGAGUAGGGCGGGACACGUGUUAUCCUGUCUGAAUAUGGGGGGACCAUCCUCCAAGGCUAAAUACUCCUGAUUGACCGAUAGUGAACCAGUACCGUGAGGGAAAGGCGAAAAGAACCCCGGCGAGGGGAGUGAAAUAGAACCUGAAACCGUGUACGUACAAGCAGUGGGAGCCUUGAUUUAUCAGGGUGACUGCGUACCUUUUGUAUAAUGGGUCAGCGACUUAUAUUCUGUAGCAAGGUUAACCGUAUAGGGGAGCCGUAGGGAAACCGAGUCUUAACUGGGCGAAUAAGUUGCAGGGUAUAGACCCGAAACCCGGUGAUCUAGCCAUGGGCAGGUUGAAGGUUGGGUAACACUAACUGGAGGACCGAACCGACUAAUGUUGAAAAAUUAGCGGAUGACUUGUGGCUGGGGGUGAAAGGCCAAUCAAACCGGGAGAUAGCUGGUUCUCCCCGAAAGCUAUUUAGGUAGCGCCUCGUGAACUCAUCUUCGGGGGUAGAGCACUGUUUCGACUAGGGGGUCAUCCCGACUUACCAACUCGAUGCAAACUACGAAUACCGAAGAAUGUUAUCACGGGAGACACACGGCGGGUGCUAACGUUCGUCGUGAAGAGGGAAACAACCCAGACCGCCAGCUAAGGUCCCAAAGUCAUAGUUAAGUGGGAAACGAAGUGGGAAGGCUCAGACAGCCAGGAUGUUGGCUUAGAAGCAGCCAUCAUUUAAAGAAAGCGUAAUAGCUCACUGGUCGAGUCGGCCUGCGCGGAAGAUGUAACGGGGCUAAACUAUGCACCGAAGCUGCGGCAGCGAUAUGUAAAUAUUGUUGGGUAGGGGAGCGUUCUGUAAGCCUGUGAAGGUGUGCUGUGAGGCAUGCUGGAGGUAUCAGAAGUGCGAAUGCUGACAUAAGUAACGAUAAUGCGGGUGAAAAACCCGCACGCCGGAAGACCAAGGGUUCCUGUCCAACGUUAAUCGGGGCAGGGUGAGUCGACCCCUAAGGCGAGGCAGAAAUGCGUAGUCGAUGGGAAACGGGUUAAUAUUCCCGUACUGGUGAUAAUUGCGAUGGGGGGACGGAGAAGGCUAGGCUAUCCGGGCGACGGUUGUCCCGGUUUAAGGAUGUAGGCAGGUGAAUUAGGCAAAUCCGGUUCACUAUAUGCUGAGGUCCGAUGACGAGUCACUACGGUGAUGAAGUAGCUCAUGCCCCGCUUCCAGGAAAAGCCUCUAAGCUCUAGAUUAUCAUUAAUCGUACCCCAAACCGACACAGGUGGUCAGGUAGAGAAUACUCAGGCGCUUGAGAGAACUCGGGUGAAGGAACUAGGCAAAAUGGUGCCGUAACUUCGGGAGAAGGCACGCUGGCAUUAGGUGAAGUGAUUUACUCAUGGAGCUGAAGCCAGUCGCAGAUACCAGCUGGCUGCAACUGUUUAUUAAAAACACAGCACUGUGCAAACACGAAAGUGGACGUAUACGGUGUGACGCCUGCCCGGUGCUGGAAGGUUAAUUGAUGGGGUUAUCCGUAAGGAGAAGCUCUUGAUCGAAGCCCCAGUAAACGGCGGCCGUAACUAUAACGGUCCUAAGGUAGCGAAAUUCCUUGUCGGGUAAGUUCCGACCUGCACGAAUGGCGUAAUGAUGGCCAGGCUGUCUCCACCCGAGACUCAGUGAAAUUGAACUCGCUGUGAAGAUGCAGUGUACCCGCGGCAAGACGGAAAGACCCCGUGAACCUUUACUAUAGCUUGACACUGAACAUUGAGCCUUGAUGUGUAGGAUAGGUGGGAGGCUUCGAAGCGUGGACGCCAGUCUGCGUGGAGCCAACCUUGAAAUACCACCCUUUAAUGUUUGAUGUUCUAACGUUGCCCCAUUAUCUGGGGUGCGGACAGUGUCUGGUGGGUAGUUUGACUGGGGCGGUCUCCUCCCAAAGAGUAACGGAGGAGCACGAAGGUUGGCUAAGCAUGGUCGGACAUCAUGCGGUUAGUGCAAAGGCAUAAGCCAGCUUGACUGCGAGAGUGACGGCUCGAGCAGGUACGAAAGUAGGUCUUAGUGAUCCGGUGGUUCUGAAUGGAAGGGCCAUCGCUCAACGGAUAAAAGGUACUCCGGGGAUAACAGGCUGAUACCGCCCAAGAGUUCAUAUCGACGGCGGUGUUUGGCACCUCGAUGUCGGCUCAUCACAUCCUGGGGCUGAAGUAGGUCCCAAGGGUACGGCUGUUCGCCGUUUAAAGUGGUACGCGAGCUGGGUUUAGAACGUCGUGAGACAGUUCGGUCCCUAUCUGCCGUGGGCGUUGGAAGAUUGAAAGGGGCUGCUCCUAGUACGAGAGGACCGGAGUGGACGCACCACUGGUGUUCGGGUUGUCAUGCCAAUGGCAUUGCCCGGUAGCUAAGUGCGGAAGAGAUAACCGCUGAAAGCAUCUAAGCGGGAAACUUGCCUUGAGAUGAGUCUUCCCUGACUCUUUAAGAGUCCUAAAGGAACGUUUAAGACUAAGACGUUGAUAGGUUGGGUGUGUAAGCGUAGCGAUACGUUGAGCUAACCAAUACUAAUGAACCGUGAGGCUUAACCUGACAACACCGAAGGUGUUUUAG